rnacentral:rRNA from 1 species
UAGACCCGAAACCCGGUGAUCUAGCCAUGGGCAGGUUGAAGGUUGGGUAACACUAACUGGAGGACCGAACCGACUAAUGUUGAAAAAUUAGCGGAUGACUUGUGGCUGGGGGUGAAAGGCCAAUCAAACCGGGAGAUAGCUGGUUCUCCCCGAAAGCUAUUUAGGUAGCGCCUCGUGAAUUCAUCUCCGGGGGUAGAGCACUGUUUCGGCAAGGGGGUCAUCCCGACUUACCAACCCGAUGCAAACUGCGAAUACCGGAGAAUGUUAUCACGGGAGACACACGGCGGGUGCUAACGUCCGUCGUGAAGAGGGAAACAACCCAGACCGCCAGCUAAGGUCCCAAAGUCAUGGUUAAGUGGGAAACGAUGUGGGAAGGCCCAGACAGCCAGGAUGUUGGCUUAGAAGCAGCCAUCAUUUAAAGAAAGCGUAAUAGCUCACUGGUCGAGUCGGCCUGCGCGGAAGAUGUAACGGGGCUAAACCAUGCACCGAAGCUGCGGCAGCGACGCUGAUGCGUUGUUGGGUAGGGGAGCGUUCUGUAAGCCUGUGAAGGUGGCCUGUGAGGGUUGCUGGAGGUAUCAGAAGUGCGAAUGCUGACAUAAGUAACGAUAAAGCGGGUGAAAAGCCCGCUCGCCGGAAGACCAAGGGUUCCUGUCCAACGUUAAUCGGGGCAGGGUGAGUCGACCCCUAAGGCGAGGCCGAAAGGCGUAGUCGAUGGGAAACAGGUUAAUAUUCCUGUACUUGGUGUUACUGCGAAGGGGGGACGGAGAAGGCUAUG